CUAGACUCAAUAAGGAAUCUGUACAUAUAAAGCAUGACUUUAAUUAUCUUUGUAAAAUUUAUGGUGAAUUUCCAAAGUCAGAACAGGGGAUCCAGAAAUCGCUCUGGCCCUAUUUCACAAAAAUUUAAACAUCUCAUAAAACAUAGCUCAUAUACCUGUUUCGCUUCUUCCAUAUGAAAAUAAACUCAUCAAGAUUCGAUUCCAUAACUUAUUCAUUAUUUAAUUCCAUUUCUACUAUUUUUAGUGAUUUUUCAAAUUCACAUCACU
rnacentral:lncRNA from 1 species